rnacentral:rRNA from 1 species
GACGAACCGUGCGAACGUUGUUCGGAUUCACUGGGCUUAAAGGGCGCGUAGGCGGGUCGGUCCGUCUGGGGUGAAAUCCUCUCGCUUAACGAGAGAACGGCCCUGGAUACCACCGAUCUCGAGGGAGGUAGGGGCAUGUGGAACUUCCGGUGGAGCGGUGAAAUGCGUAGAUAUCGGAAGGAACGCCGGUGGCGAAAGCGAUCCGCUGGACCUCUUCUGACACUGAGGCGCGAAAGCCAGGGGAGCAAACGGG